GAUGAACGCUGGCGGCGUGCCUAAUACAUGCAAGUCGAGCGAACAGACGAGGAGCUUGCUCCUCUGACGUUAGCGGCGGACGGGUGAGUAACACGUGGAUAACCUACCUAUAAGACUGGGAUAACUUCGGGAAACCGGAGCUAAUACCGGAUAAUAUAUUGAACCGCAUGGUUCAAUAGUGAAAGACGGUUUUGCUGUCACUUAUAGAUGGAUCCGCGCCGCAUUAGCUAGUUGGUAAGGUAACGGCUUACCAAGGCGACGAUGCGUAGCCGACCUGAGAGGGUGAUCGGCCACACUGGAACUGAGACACGGUCCAGACUCCUACGGGAGGCAGCAGUAGGGAAUCUUCCGCAAUGGGCGAAAGCUUGACGGAGCAACGCCGCGUGAGUGAUGAAGGUCUUCGGAUCGUAAAACUCUGUUAUCAGGGAAGAACAAAUGUGUAAGUAACUAUGCACGUCUUGACGGUACCUAAUCAGAAAGCCACGGCUAACUACGU
rnacentral:rRNA from 1 species